rnacentral:rRNA from 1 species
UACGUAGGGUGCGAGCGUUGUCCGGAAUUAUUGGGCGUAAAGAGCUCGUAGGCGGUUUGUUGCGUCGGCCGUGAAAACCUGCAGCUUAACUGUGGGCCUGCGGUCGAUACGGGCAGACUUGAGUUCGGUAGGGGAGACUGGAAUUCCUGGUGUAGCGGUGAAAUGCGCAGAUAUCAGGAGGAACACCGGUGGCGAAGGCGGGUUGCUGGGCUGACACUGACGCUGAGGCGCGAAAGCCAGGGGAGCGAACGGG